rnacentral:rRNA from 1 species
GACAGAGGUCCCGAGCGUUAGGCGGAAUCACUGGGCUUAAAGCGUGUGUAGGCGGAUCGUUAAGUGCCUUGUGAAAUCCCACGGCUCAACCGUGGAACUGCUUGGCAUACUGGCGGUCUUGAGCCACCUAGGGGCAACCGGAACAAACGGUGGAGCGGUGAAAUGCGUAGAUAUCGUUUGGAACGCCAAUGGUGAAAACAGGUUGCUGGGGGUGUGCUGACGCUGAGACACGAAAGCCAGGGGAGCGAACGGG